UAAAUGAGAGCACAAGUGGUUCUGAGGAAGGGGAGUGCCUGCCUGGCUUCCACCUUGUCUUCUACCCUCAGGAGCGGCUACCCAGGCUGUGAGGAGAUGGCCGCAUUCCAAGCACGGCUGAGUGGAGGCUGGUCCCAGCCUGCAGCCCUGCCUGUUCCCGUGUGACAGUAUCAUCAGCUCAAGGCCAGAGGCUAUGGGAGAAGGUUGGAGGUGGCAGCUGAAAUGGUGAGUGCUAUCAGGCUCUCGAUCCCUGGAAUUGCCGCUCUGAGGAGCCCUGUGUCUGGAGGUGCAACUUGGAGGAACCAUCAGCCUAUCCUCCUGCCCCUCUAAGGAGAUGCACAAGGAUCUUUACUACCACUCUUGGAGAGACUGAAAGAGGAAGGCAGCCUCUGAAGACUGACUGCCCAAGUUCAAAGUCCGGGUCUGCUGCUCACGGGCUGUGCCUGUGUAACUUGAGGAUCCGAUCCAAGAUCCAAGAUCCUACCUGCAUUUAACUGUCAUGUCUCUUUAGUGUCCUUCAAUCUCUGACAGCUCCACAGUUGUCUCUCCUGACCUGGGCACUUUCGAGGAGUACUUGUCAGAGGACUUGGCUUGGCCCAGCAUUUCUCGGGUGAAAAACAGCUGAUCUGAUGAGGAUUCUGAAGUGGUCUGCUGCAUUGGAAAUAAAGGUAUUUCUAUGUGCACAAAAAAUAAGUGGCCUGCUUCCUCACCGGACGAAUGCGUGGUCACAGACGACGGCUGCUUCCUGAGGCCUAGAACAGAUAUCUGCUCCACCACACAUUCGCUGGGAU